GGAUCAGCCAACCAUGAGCAGUCGCUUCCUCCCGGUUGUGCUACCUCACUUCCAUGUGUAGACCAAGCCCAACGUCAGGUCAACUGAGGGUAAUGUGAGCCAAGCUCAGCAGAAGGAAUAUGAGAGGAUUUUGGAGAGAUGAUUGGGAAAUGCUGCUAGAUAGGAACAACAGGAGUACAGAAGAAAAAUUGAGUUCAAAUGUGGAUGAAACGAAGGUCAUUGAUGAAGCAGCUGAAGAUGGUUGGGUCUACAAC